UUAAUCUGAACCGCCUCCUCACGCUGUUCGCCUGUCGGCCGCUCUAUUGUGAGGGGAGGCCCCAGCUGCCUCCUGAACCCCCCCCUGCUUUAGAUGGGGGGUACGCCCCCUGUUUCGACGACCCAGCGAUGGUUUAGAUUAGAUUAGCUAGUGUUAGAUUACGUUUAGAUUAGCUAGUGUUAGAUUACCGUUUAGAUUAGCUAGUGUUAGAUUACGUUUAGAUUAGCUAGUGUUAGAUUACGUUUAGAUUAGCUAGUGUUGGAUUACGUUUAGAUUAGCUAGUGUUAGAUUACCGUUUAGAUUAGUUAGUGUUAGAUUACCGUUUAGAUUAGCUAGUGUUAGAUUACCGUUUAGAUUAGCUAGUGUUGGAUUACCAUUUAGAUUAGCUAGUUGUUAUUUACGUUUAGAUUAGCUAGUGUUAGAUUACCGUUUAGAUUAGCUAGUGUUAGAUUACCGUUUAGAUUAGCUAGUGUUAGAUUACCGUUUAGAUUACCAUUUAGAUAAACUAGUGUUAGAUUACCUGUUAGAUUACCCCUCUGUUUAAAUAAGAUAGUGUC